GACGAACGCUGGCGGCGUGCCUAAUACAUGCAAGUAGAACGCUGAAGAGAGGAGCUUGCUCUUCUUGGAUGAGUUGCGAACGGGUGAGUAACGCGUAGGUAACCUGCCUGGUAGCGGGGGAUAACUAUUGGAAACGAUAGCUAAUACCGCAUAAAAUUGAUUAUUGCAUGAUAAUUAAUUGAAAGAUGCAAUUGCAUCACUACCAGAUGGACCUGCGUUGUAUUAGCUAGUUGGUGAGGUAACGGCUCACCAAGGCGACGAUACAUAGCCGACCUGAGAGGGUGAUCGGCCACACUGGGACUGAGACGCGGCCCAGACUCCUACGGGAGGCAGCAGUAGGGAAUCUUCGGCAAUGGGGGGAACCCUGACCGAGCAACGCCGCGUGAGUGAAGAAGGUUUUCGGAUCGUAAAGCUCUGUUGUAAGAGAAGAACGGGUGUGAGAGUGGAAAGUUCACACUGUGACGGUCUACCAAAAGAC
rnacentral:rRNA from 1 species